rnacentral:snRNA from 1 species
GUGCUUGCUCCAGCAACACAUAUAGUAAAAUUGAAACAGUGCAGUGAUUAGCAAAGCCCCUGCACAAGGAUAACACACAAAUUUAUGUAGCUUUCUAUACUUUU